UUGUUGUUGAUUAGAAAAAGGGUUGUAUGUUUGCACCCGCAAAACGGGAUAUUGUUUUGUUAGUUCAUUGAGAUUGAUUUUGUUUGUUAGGUUAGGUUUUACGGGGCUUUAUUGUUUUGUUUUAAUUUGAUUUAGGUUCUAAAAAAAACUUUAAUUUUUUUUCAAAAAAGUUUUGUGGAAUUAAAAAGUGGUUGUAUAUUUGCACCCGCUUUGAGAAACAAGCGAAGUUCAUAAGAAUAAAAGUUAUACUGGAGUAGGGUGAUUAGGUUCAUUUUUGGGGUUCGAUUCCUUGGUAAUUUACGAUUAACGACUGGCAAUGAAGAUUGUUUUCGGUUAGUUAAAAAAGUUCAUUGAUAUAUUGAUUGACAGCGCGUAUUAUGGUUGUAUUUAUUUACGAUCAUUUUACAAAUAAGAAUUAAGACUAGAAGCAUUUUUGAGAUACGAUUUAAAAUUCCUGUUGUUAUUGUUAAAUAAUAUUUAAGAAUACACGAUGAAGAGUUUGAUCCUGGCUCAGGAUGAACGCUAGCGGCAGGCUUAACACAUGCAAGUCGAGGGGUAACAUUGGUGCUUGCAUCAGAUGACGACCGGCGCACGGGUGCGUAACGCGUAUAGAACCUACCUUUUAGUAAGGGAUAGCCCAGAGAAAUUUGGAUUAAUACCUUAUAGUAUCAAGAUGUAGCAUUGCAUUAUGAUUAAAGAUUUAUUGCUAAAAGAUGGCUAUGCGUUCUAUUAGUUAGUUGGUAAGGUAACGGCUUACCAAGACAUCGAUAGAUAGGGGCCCUGAGAGGGGGAUCCCCCACACUGGUACUGAGACACGGACCAGACUCCUACGGGAGGCAGCAGUGAGGAAUAUUGGACAAUGGAGGCAACUCUGAUCCAGCCAUGCCGCGUGUAGGAAGACUGCCCUAUGGGUUGUAAACUACUUUUAUAGAGGAAGAAACAGUUCCACGUGUGGAACUUUGACGGUACUCUACGAAUAAGGAUCGGCUAACUCCGUGCCAGCAGCCGCGGUAAUACGGAGGAUCCAAGCGUUAUCCGGAAUCAUUGGGUUUAAAGGGUCCGUAGGCGGGUCUGUAAGUCAGUGGUGAAAGUUUUCGGCUCAACCGGAAAAUUGCCAUUGAUACUGCAGGUCUUGAAUCAUUAUGAAGUGGUUAGAAUAAGUAGUGUAGCGGUGAAAUGCAUAGAUAUUACUUAGAAUACCGAUUGCGAAGGCAGAUCACUAAUAAUGUAUUGACGCUAAGGGACGAAAGCGUGGGUAGCGAACAGGAUUAGAUACCCUGGUAGUCCACGCCGUAAACGAUGGUUACUAGCUGUUCGGACUUCGGUCUGAGUGGCUAAGCGAAAGUGAUAAGUAACCCACCUGGGGAGUACGUUCGCAAGAAUGAAACUCAAAGGAAUUGACGGGGGCCCGCACAAGCGGUGGAGCAUGUGGUUUAAUUCGAUGAUACGCGAGGAACCUUACCAGGGCUUAAAUGUAGUAUGACAGGUUUAGAGAUAGACUUUUCUUCGGACAUAUUACAAGGUGCUGCAUGGUUGUCGUCAGCUCGUGCCGUGAGGUGUCAGGUUAAGUCCUAUAACGAGCGCAACCCCUGUUGUUAGUUGCCAGCGAGUAAUGUCGGGAACUCUAGCAAGACUGCCGGUGCAAACCGCGAGGAAGGUGGGGAUGACGUCAAAUCAUCACGGCCCUUACGUCCUGGGCCACACACGUGCUACAAUGGUAGGUACA
rnacentral:rRNA from 1 species